rnacentral:rRNA from 1 species
UGGGGAAUAUUGGACAAUGGGCGAAAGCCUGAUCCAGCCAUGCCGCGUGUGUGAAGAAGGUCUUCGGAUUGUAAAGCACUUUAAGUUGGGAGGAAGGGCAGUAAGUUAAUACCUUGCUGUUUUGACGUUACCGACAGAAUAAGCACCGGCUAACUCUGUGCCAGCAGCCGCGGUAAUACAGAGGGUGCAAGCGUUAAUCGGAAUUACUGGGCGUAAAGCGCGCGUAGGUGGUUUGUUAAGUUGGAUGUGAAAGCCCCGGGCUCAACCUGGGAACUGCAUCCAAAACUGGCAAGCUAGAGUACGGUAGAGGGUGGUGGAAUUUCCUGUGUAGCGGUGAAAUGCGUAGAUAUAGGAAGGAACACCAGUGGCGAAGGCGACCACCUGGACUGGUACUGACGCUGAGGUGCGAAAGCGUGGGGAGCAAACAGGAUUAGAUACCCGAGUAGUCCCUGAGCGGGCUGGCAAGGCGCAU